rnacentral:lncRNA from 1 species
UCUAUUUUCCCAAUCAAGCUCAAUACCAGAUUUUGGAAGACAGUGAGUCUUACUCUGGAGGAAGAACUUUUACUACAGUGACAAAGCUUUGAUGUUGAAGCCGCUGUAUUUUCUAAGGCUACAAUUACAAAACCCAAUGGAAUACAGGAGUGCACAUGAAAGGAGAAACAAGAGUCUACACUUGACAGUGCUCCUGCUGGGGUCAAAGGAAGACUGGCUAUCUGAUGAAGCAUAGAGCCAUGGCUAUUUCCAGAAAGCAGAGAGAAAGCAGAAACUAAAAGAGGAGCUCAGAGGUGUUGGCCAAGGUCAAGAUAAAGAAGGCAGUGAUUUAAAGGACGAAAGGGAUGUUGUAGCUCCUCUGCCUGUAUCCUCUACAGGUGUAGCUUUACACGGACCUGUGGUUGCUAUACAAUAAACCAUUAAUAUUUAAAGCUUACAGUUUGAUCAUUGACUCUUUCCC